CCUACGGGAGGCAGCAGUGAGGAAUAUUGGUCAAUGGGCGGGAGCCUGAACCAGCCAAGUCGCGUGAGGGAAGACGGUCCUAUGGAUUGUAAACCUCUUUAGGCGGGGAGCAAUGCCGGGCACGUGUGCCCGGAGGGAGAGUACCCGCAGAAUAAGCAUCGGCUAACUCCGUGCCAGCAGCCGCGGUAAUCCGGAGGAUGCGAGCGGUAUCCGGAUUGAUUGGGUUUAAAGGGUGCGCAGGCGGUUUUUUAAGUCAGCGGUAAAAUGUCGGGGAUCAACCCGGGCCGGCCGUUGAAACUGGGGAUCUUGAGUGGGAGAGAAGUAUGCGGAAUGCGUGGUGUAGCGGUGAAAUGCAUAGAUAUCACGCAGAACUCCGAUUGCGAAGGCAGCAUACCGGCGCCCGACUGACGCUGAGGCACGAAAGCGUGGGGAUCGAACAGGAUUAGAUACCCUAGUAGUC
rnacentral:rRNA from 1 species